AACAAAAACAGCUCUUUUAGGAUUUUUCUGGCUUUCUGAUUUUGAUCAGAAAACCGAA
ensembl:snRNA predicted gene, 25424